rnacentral:rRNA from 1 species
AUGGCUACACCCACCGAAGAACCCACCAUGGAGACCUGCGGCGACGACGUCUCCGACCCAAGCAUGGAGACCAUCGGCGUCCUCUCUGAUGUCUCCAUGGUGAACAGAAGCCUCCCUGUAGGCGUCGUCUCCCCCAAUUUCAAGGUCACUCGUGGCUUCGGUGGAAUCGCGGAGAACGCCAAGGUGAACGUCGACAGGCUGUAUCUGCGCCAGAUCUUGACGGGCUGGGACGCGAAUCAGUCAGACGUGAUACAGCCCAAUGCCGUGACAGGGCUAGGUAAAACUGCUGUGAACAACUGGGGGGUCUAUGACGGUGCUGGCUCCAAGGCGAAACUUGUUGCCAAAACUCACGGCAUGCACACACUUGCCGGCAAAUGGAGCAAUUGGUUCACCCUGGCGUUUGUGGUCGGAAGGUUCGAAGGGUCCACUCUUCAGGUUAUGGGAGCUAAUGAUGAGGAUGUAGCAGAUAAUGAUUGGGCCAUUGUAGGUGGGACCGGUGAAUUCGCAAUGGCUCGCGGUAUCAUCCAGAGAAGAGUAUAUAGUAUAACAAACAGUACAUUAACACAUGCGCUUACUAUUGAAUUCUUCUGCCACAUGAAGGAGGUCGUCCCUUCACCUACAAAGAGAGGAACAGUUGGUGGAAAUAGAGGCACCCUGCCUCGGGAAAUGGAAGGCAAAUCCCAACGUCUUGAAAAUGUGACAAUCUACCAUGUAGGUGCAGUUGAAGGGUUUCAAUUUUCCUACGUUGACGAAGACGGGAAAAUCCGCACCACUGAUACUUGGGGUCGAGUACAUCCUGAUCCUUUGCGCAAGACCGAAAUAAAGUUUGGCCCAUCAGAGUUUGUGAAAAAGAUCAAUGGGGCUCAGAGAGGAGGCGAGGGCUGGCUGUCAAAAUUUGAGAUCGUCACCACCCACAAAACGUAUGGUCCUUUUGGAGCUGACAACGGCACUCCAAAUUUCAGUUAUACCGUGCCGGAGGACGAGACGGUGGUGGGCUUCUUCGCAAACACUGAUAACAUUUUCGUCACUUCGAUUGGUGUUUAUACCAUCUAA